rnacentral:rRNA from 1 species
CCCUUAGAUGUUCUGGGCCGCACGCGCGCUACACUGAUGCAUUCAACAAGUUCUACCUUGGCCGAGAGGCCUGGGAAAUCUUUCAAAUAUGUAUCGUGAUAGGGAUAGAUUAUUGCAAUUAUUAAUCUUGAACGAGGAAUUCCUAGUAAAUGCAGAUCAUCAUUCUGCGUUGAUUACGUCCCUGCCCUUUGUACACACCGCCCGUCGCUCCUACCGAUUGGGUGUGCUGGUGAAAUGUUCGGAUCGGCCGUUUGUCGCGGUUUCCGCGUCAUGUGGCUGAGAAGUUCAUUAAACCCUCCCACCUAGAGGAAGGAGAAGUCGUAACA